rnacentral:piRNA from 1 species
UCUCGAUGUACUUGGAGUCGCCCUUAGCCA